GCUGGGUGUGGUGGUGCACACCUGUAAUCCAGCUACUUGGAGGCUGAGGCAGGAGAAUCGCUUGAACCUGGGAGGCAGAGGUUGCAGUGAGCUGAGAUCACGCCACUGCACUCCAGCCUGGGUGGCAGAGUGAGACCCCGUCUCAA
ensembl:misc_RNA Metazoa_SRP Metazoan signal recognition particle RNA